GACACUGGCCUUGGCAUCACACAAGCCAACAGACCUGGGGAGAGAAUACAACCUCUACACAGAAGGAUCCAAUUAAACACAGCAUACAGUCCCAAGCUGGGUGCUGCAGACAUUCCCUCCGUUAUGCGUGGUUUUUAUAAUGUAUCUCCUACCGAGCAUUCCUGGGUGAAAUUAGAUCACACGAGGGCUUAGAGGGUGAGUGCAAGGUUUUAUUGAGUGGUUGAAGGUGGCUCUUAGCAAGAUGGAUGGGGAGCUGGUAGGGGGGCAUGUUGGUGGCACCAGUUAGAACAGGUACAUUGUUGAACAAAUUCAGUCC
rnacentral:lncRNA from 1 species